UACGGGGGGGGGGCAAGCGUUGUUCGGAAUUACUGGGCGUAAAGGGCUCGUAGGCGGCCAACUAAGUCAGACGUGAAAUCCCUCGGCUUAACCGGGGAACUGCAUCUGAUACUGGAUGGCUUGAGUUCGGGAGAGGGAUGCGGAAUUCCAGGUGUAGCGGUGAAAUUCGUAGAUAUUCGGAGGAACACCAGAAGCGAAGGCGGCCAACUGGCCCGAUACUGACGCUGAGGCGCGAAAGCGUGGGGAGCAAACAGG
rnacentral:rRNA from 1 species